AAGGGCACCACAAGAACGCGUGGAGCAUGUGGCUUAAUUUGACUCAACGCGGGAAAUCUUACCGGGUCCGGACACACUGAGGAUUGACAGACAAUCACACUAAUCUUAUAUGUAUAUUUAUUUAUACGCGUAAGUUAGUGUCAAAUAAAGAUGCUAGUUCUUUCAUGAUUAUGUGAUAGGUGGUGCAUGGCCGUUCUUAGUUCGUGGAGUGAUCUGUCUGCUUAAUUGCGUUUCACAAUUAAAAUACGAAUAUACGCAUAUUAUGAUUGCUUGACCCCAUAAAUUUAUUUUUAUGCGCUGCGUCUCGUAUCUUAUAUGCAUUCGUUAUUUCGAAAGCAACGAACGUGACCGUAUCCUUUUGUUAAAUGUAUAUAUACAUUUUAAAAACUAAAGGGACCGCUGUUUCUUUCUUAAACCAGAGGAAGGUUACGGCAAUAACAGGUCUGUGAUGCCCUUAAAUGUUCCGGGCUGCACACGUGCUACAAUGAUUAUUUCAGUAAGUAUCUCAAACUUUAAAUAGAAUGUACUUUACGUACACCUAAAUCCUACCUCGAAAGUAAGGUGGGUAAUCAAUUAGAAGUAAUGAUUUCCUAAAUAUUUUGUACAAAAAUAUACAGCGUAUUCAUAUCCCAUAAAGGCUCUCGUUAGUCUGCAUGCGUGUGUAUGAUACGUAAAUAUUACUUUUAUGUAUUAUUUUUUCUGUAUGUACAAUUGUUAAUUCAUGGUGGGGACAGACCAUUGUUAAUUAUUGGUCUCGGUCUUAACUAGGAAUGCCUUGUACGGGUCUUUGGUUCAUCAAACCACCCGGAAUACGUCCCUGCCCUUUGUACACACCGCCCGUCGCUCUUACCGAUGAACUUUACUAUGAAUUUGAGGGAAAGACCUUUGAGUCGCAAACUUAAAUGAAUAGUGUGGUUUAAAGGAAAGAGAAGUCGAACAAGGCA
rnacentral:rRNA from 1 species